rnacentral:rRNA from 1 species
UGGCAGACGGCUGAGUAACACAUGGGAAUCUACCUCAAACUCGAGAAUAGCCCAUCGAAAGGUGGUGUAAUACUCGAUAGUUCCGUUUACGGUAAAGCUCCGGCGGUUUGAGAUGAGCCCAUGUCCUAUCAGGUUGUUGGUGGGGUAAUUGCCUACCAAGCCUAUGACGGGUAGCUGGUUUGAGAGGAUGAUCAGCCAGACUGGGACUGCGAUACGGCCCAGACUCCUACGGGAGGCAGCAACUAGGAAUCAUGCGCAAUGGACGAAAGUCUGACGCUGCGACGUCGCGUGAGGGAUGAAGGUCUUCGGAUCGUAAACCUCUUUUAUCUGGGAACAAGUUCUGAGUGUACCAGAUGAAUAAGUGCCUGCCAACCACGUGCCAGAAGCAUCGGUAAUGCGUGGGGCACGAGCGUUAUCCGGAUUUACUGGGCGUAAAGAGAUGCGUAGGCGCCUUUUUAAGUCACUUGUAAAAUCUCCCCGCUCAACGGGGAAACUGCAAGUGAUACUGAAUUGGUUGAGUCAAGUAGAGGAGAGGGGAAUUCCUGGUGGAGCGGUUAAAUGCGUUGAUAUCAGGAGGAAUACCAAGUGCGAAGGCACCUCUCUGGACUUGUACUGACGCUAAGGCUCGAAAGUGUGGGGAGCAAAACGGAUUAGAUACCCGUGUAGUCCACACUGUAAACGAUCCCUGCUAGAUGUUUGC